rnacentral:lncRNA from 1 species
GGCCGAUCUAUGUCACCUUACUUCGAUUAUCGACUGACAUGAUUAUUAACACUACAUGCAUGAUACCCAAUUCAGACGGUCAUCGAUAUCAGCUAUUUUAUAUCGGUCUAUUAUCAACGUAUCACCAGAGGUAUAGACAGUUAUCUGACCAUUGUCAUUCAACUCAGCAUUAACUAUCUUCCAGCUAUGUUCCAGUUUAUCACCAUGUGGGCAAAUACCUCACGAUCUCCACACAGCUAG